UAUAUAUAUAGGGAUAAUAAUAUCGAAGUCGAACCCGGGCCGCCCGCGUGGCAGGCGAGUAUUCUACCACUGAACCACCUAUGC